GGGGAAAUGGCAGAGUGGUCGAUUGCGAUAGAUUGCUAAUCUAUUGUGCAUACUUUUUUUGCACCAAGGGUUCGAAUCCCUUUUUCUCCU
rnacentral:tRNA from 1 species